AUGGUCGACGUGGGUUAAAGUGUAGUAUCUGUUCUUAUCAGCUUAAAAUGUGAUAUGGGUUAUAUUAGGACCCAAGAUAUGAAACUUAUUUUUGCAUAUUGGCGGAGUGCUUGAAGCCUGCUUCACCUCCGCCGGAUCGGCCCGGUAUUGCACUUAGUAGCUUCAGGAUCGGCCUACGUUUA